GACGAACGCUGGCGGCGUGCUUAACGCAUGCAAGUCGAACGGAAAGGCCCUGCUUUUGUGGGGUGCUCGAGUGGCGAACGGGUGAGUAACACGUGAGUAACCUGCCCUUGGAUUUGGGAUAACUUCAGGAUACUGGGGCUAAUACCGGAUCGGAGCUCCUGCUGCAUGUUGGGGGUUGGAACGUUUCGGUGGUUGGGGAUGGACUCGCGGCUUAUCAGCUUGUUGGUGGGGUAGUGGCAUACCAAGGCUUUGACGGGUAGCCGGUCUUAGAGGGUGAACGGCCACAUUGGGACUGAGAUACGGCCCAGACUCCUACGGGGGGCAGCAGUGUGGAAUAUGGCACAAUGGGCGGAAGCCUGAUGCAGCAACGCCGCGUGCGGGAUGACGGCCGUCGGGUUGUAAACCGCUUUCGCCUGUGACGAAGCGUGAGUGACGGUAAUGGGUAAAGAAGCACCGGCUAACUACGUG
rnacentral:rRNA from 1 species